GACGAACGCUGGCGGCGUGCUUAACACAUGCAAGUCGAGCGGUAAGGCCCUUUCGGGGGUACGACGAGCGGCGAACGGGUGAGUAACACGUGGGUGACCUGCCCUCAGCUCUGGGAUAAGCCUGGGAAACCGGGUCUAAUACCGGAUAUGACUCCAUGACGCAUGUUGUGGGGUGGAAAGCCUUGUGCGGCUGAGGAUGGGCCCGCGGCCUAUCAGCUUGUUGGUGGGGUGAUGGCCACCAAGGCGACGACGGGUAGCCGGCCUGAGAGGGCGACCGCCACACUGGGGACUGAGACACGGCCCAGACUCCUACGGGAGGGCAGCAGGUGGGGAAUCUUGCGCAAUGGGCGAAANCCUGACGCAGCGACGCCGCGUGAGGGAUGACGGCCUGUUGUAACUAC
rnacentral:rRNA from 1 species